rfam:Dichomitus squalens LYAD-421 SS1 unplaced genomic scaffold DICSQscaffold_53, whole genome shotgun sequence.
UCCCGUUUAGCUCAGCUGGUAGAGCGCAUCACUUGUAAUGAUGAGGUCAGUCGUUCGAGUCCGCUAAUGGGAA